AUGUUAGGUGGCCAGGCAGGUGCCUGACACUGCUGUCCUCUGGGGAGGUGUAAAAUUUCCAUUAGAAAAAUGCAAGGAGGCUGGCCCUGGUGGCACAAACCUUAAAUCCCAGCACUCAGGAUGGAGAGACCGGCAGAUCUCGGAGUUUCAGGCUAGUUAGAACUACGCAGUAAGACCCCGUCUCAAAAACAAACAAACGAGCAAGAAGACGAAAAAGGAGGAGGAAGAGAACUAAGUGCCAAGAACUGGAAGAGGAAGUAUGUUGCUGCGCUGCAGAGUUGCCGUGGCAAUGGGUCAGCAGCAGAAAGAAACAGGUUCUGCCCUCAACAGACCAUCUGUUAGGAAGGGACCUUAAAUCUCCAAGAAAGGAAGUCUCUAGAGAUAGGACAUUCCAUUCUGUUGGAGUUUAAAUUUGGUCCCAGAGCAACAAGACCUGCUUUGGAGCCUCCAAACCUCAGGACUCCACAGUUCUCAAAAAGACAGCCGAACGGCUUCCUGGAAUCCCGUGUGAGCUGUCAGCUCUGCAGCAGUGUAAAGAUGCUGGAGCAUCCUCCAACCGCAAGCCAAGGACCACAAAGCCUUGCGUAUCACCUUGGCUUUCUUACAAUAUUAUCCCCUUUCCUGGUUUCCCCUCCGGAAAAGCAACCUCCCCACUCUUCCCACUCACCAACCCACCCACUCCUGCUUCCUGGUCCUGGCAUUCCCCCACACUGGGGCACAGAGCCUUCUUAGGACCAAGGGCUUCUCCUCCCACUGAUAUCCGACUAGGCCAUCCUCUACUGCAUAUGCAGCUGAAGCCAUGAGUCCCACCAUGUGUGCUCUUUGGUUGGUGGUUAGUCCCGGGAGCUCUGGGGGUACUGGUUAGUUCAUAUUGUUGUUCCUCCCAUGGGGCUGCAAACCCCUUCAGCUCCUUGGGUCCUUUUUCUAGCUCCUCCAUUGGGGACCCUGUACUCAGUCCAAUGGAUGGCUAUGAGCAUCCACUUCUGUAUUUGUGAGGCACUGGCAGAGCCUCUCAGGAGAGAGCUAUAUCAGGCUCCUGUCAGCAAGCACUUGUUGGCAUCCACAAUAGUGUCUGUUUUUGGUGGUUGUUUAUGGGAUGAAUCCCCAGGUGGGGCAGUCUCUGGAUGAUCAUUCAUUCAGUCUCUACUCCAUACUUUGUCUCUGUAACUCCUUCCAUGGGUGUUUUGUUCCCCUUUCUAAGAUGCAUUGAAGUAUCCACACUUCGGUCUUUCUUCUUCUUGAGUUUCAUAUGGUUUGUGAAUUGUAUCUUGGGUAUUCCAAACUUCUGGGCUUCUUAUCACCACUUAUCAGUGAGUGCAUAUCAUGUGGGUUCUUUUGUGACUGGGUUACCUCACUCACGAUGAUAUCCUCCAGAUCCAUCCAUUUGCCUACAAAUUUCAUAAAUUUAUUGUUUUUAAUAGCCGAGUAGUACUCCAUUGUGUAAACUUACCACAUUUUCUGCAUCCAUUCCUCUGUUGAGGGACAUCUGGGUUCUUUCCAGCUUCUGGCUAUUAUAAAUAAGGCUGCUA
rnacentral:lncRNA from 1 species